rnacentral:lncRNA from 1 species
GUUACCGGCAUGCUUUUGGAGAUGGACCAGCCUGAAGUAUUGCAUUUGAUAGAAUCACCUGAUGCUCUCAAGGCUAAAGUUGCUAAAGCCAUGGAUGUCCUGAGAAAUGUUUCCCAACAAGGCAAUAGUCCAGCGGAUCAACUAGCUUCACUUUCCCUCACCUCUAAUCUUCACUGCAGUAAAACGCAAUAAUUACCGAGUGUUAAAAUUUUAAAAAAAAUUCCAAAUUGGAAUAGAUACAAAAUUCAAGGGGAAAGUUCAUGUUCAGAUUACCGUUCUGAAUCCAAGCAUCAAAAAAGCUAAUGCAAACUGAGUUCACCGAAAGGAUGUUGGCAGAUACCUGUUUUACUUUACCAUACAACAAUCCGAAACCCUAAAUCUGCAAAAUAUAAAUAAGAGGAGGCGAUUUCAAGAGAG